UACAGGGGGUGCAAACGUUGCUCGGAAUCAUUGGGCGUAAAGCGCACGUAGGCGGUUCGUUAUGUCGGAUGGGAAAGCCCUUGGCUUAACCGAGGAAGUGCAUCCGAAACUGGCGAGCUAGAGUACUAAAGAGGAUCGCGGAAUUCCCGGUGUAGAGGUGAAAUUCGUAGAUAUCGGGAGGAACACCGGUGGCGAAGGCGGCGAUCUGGGUAGAUACUGACGCUGAGGUGCGAAAGCGUGGGGAGCAAACAGG
rnacentral:rRNA from 1 species